rnacentral:sRNA from 1 species
AUAACGAUACAGAGAUCGGCCGCGACCGCCC